rnacentral:rRNA from 1 species
CCUACGGGGGGCAGCAGUGGGGAAUAUUGGACAAUGGGGGGAACCCUGAUCCAGCCAUGCCGCGUGUGUGAAGAAGGCCCUCGGGUUGUAAAGCACUUUCAGUGAGGAAGAACGCCUGGUGGUUAAUACCCAUCAGGAAAGACAUCACUCACAGAAGAAGCACCGGCUAACUCCGUGCCAGCAGCCGCGGUAAUACGGAGGGUGCGAGCGUUAAUCGGAAUUACUGGGCGUAAAGCGCGCGUAGGUGGCUUGAUAAGCCGGUUGUGAAAGCCCCGGGCUCAACCUGGGAACGGCAUCCGGAACUGUCAAGCUAGAGUGCAGGAGAGGAAGGUAGAAUUCCCGGUGUAGCGGUGAAAUGCGUAGAGAUCGGGAGGAAUACCAGUGGCGAAGGCGGCCUUCUGGACUGACACUGACACUGAGGUGCGAAAGCGUGGGUAGCAAACAGGAUUAGAUACCCUAGUAGC